AAGUCGUAACAAGGUUUCCGUAGGUGAACCUGCGGAAGGAUCAUUAACAUAUUCCAUUCCACGCGUCUUGAGGAGCGUUAACUGGCCCUUUACUGGGUUCGGGACACGUCUCUUUCAUUCUAAAAGACACAAACAUUAACCUUUGACACCAACCAUCAGUUCUCUUGAAAAGAGUCCUGUUUUCAUAAAACAAAUUGAAAAACAACUUUUAACAAUGGAUCUCUUGGCUCUU
rnacentral:misc_RNA from 1 species